rnacentral:misc_RNA from 1 species
AAUCUUAUCUUGCAAUAAAUAAUAAAGCCUCAAUUCUUUCAUGACUAUUCAUUUUAAUGUGUGGGGACCUACCCAAACUAUGUCUUUAUCUGAAUAUAGAUGGGUUGUUACCUUCAUUGAUUGUUGCACUAGAUUAACUUGGGUUUACUUGAUCAAAACAAAGAGUGAGGCUUUUUAUUGUUUUUAACAAUUCCAUAAAAUAAUUUGUACUCAAUUUGGUGCUCAAGUAAAAAUUCUAAGAAUUGAUAAUGGUACAAAAUAUAUGAAUAGACUGUUUCAGAAUUACUUGGAGUCAUAUGGUAUUUUACACCAAACUAGUUGUAUUAAUGAUAGUGCAUAAAAUGGGGCGUCUGAAAGGAAAAAUAAACAUUUACUUGAGGUAGUUCGAGCUCUCAUGUUUACCAUGAACCUUCCUAUACCUUAUUGGGGAGAUAUUGUUUUGUUUACAGCCUUUCUAUUUAAUAUAAUGUCUCUUAAAACCCUAGAUUUUAAAAGGAGUUAAAAAAUAAGCUUUUCGAGUCCGAAGCAUGGAAGCUGG